AUGGCGGCGCACCACCAGCAGCAGCAGCAACCGCAGCCGCAGCAGCAAUCGCAGCAGCAGGCGGUGGGGUUCGAGGACUACCUGCCGGUGAUGGCGGAGCGGCUGGGGGAGGAGGGGCUGAUGGAGGAGCUGGCGGCGGGGUUCCGGCUGCUCAUGGACCCGGCCUCCGGCCUCAUCACCUUCCACAGCCUCCGCCGCAACGCGCCGCUGCUGGGCCUGGGCGGCAUGUCCGACGACGACCUCCGCGGGAUGCUCGCCGAGGGCGACUUCGACGGCGACGGCGCGCUCUCCCAGAUGGAGUUCUGCGUCCUCAUGGUCAGGCUCAGCCCCGACCUCAUGGACCAGCCCCGCCGGUGGCUCGACGACGCCGUCGCCCAGGCCUCCCACUUCCUCUUCACCAGCUAG
rnacentral:rRNA from 1 species